rnacentral:lncRNA from 1 species
GUGGGACAAAAUGUUCCAUUUUUGUGGAGUGGAGCCCCAAAUCAACAUCAGAUCCCAGCUGAGGAGUGACUUGUUGAGGAAUUCAUUGAGAAAUGAAUUUGAUUUGGACAAGCUGUUCCAUUUUUAUGGAGUGGAGCCCCAAAUCAUCCAAUCCCAGCUGAGGAAUGACUUGUUGAGGAAUUCACUGAGAAAUGAAUUUGAUUUGGCCAAGCUGUUCCAUUUAAUGGGAUGGAGCCCCAGAGCUUCAGUCCUGCUGAGCCCAAUUCAGCUCUGCCCUGAGCGUGUGCUGGUGGAGCUGCUGCGGUCACACUCAGCUGGGCAGCGCAGGGCUCAGUGCAGGGCUCAGUGCAGGUUUCAGUGCAGGUUCCAGUGAAUUUUUCAGUGCAUUUCUCAGUGCAUUUCUCAGUGCAUUUCCAGUGCAGGUUUCAGUGAAUUUUUCAGUGAAUUUCUCAGUGAAUUUUUCAGUGCAUUUCCAGUGCAUUUCUCAGUGCAUUUCUCAGUGCAUCUCCAGUGCAGUUCCAGUGCCCAGCUGUGCCCAGCCCUCCCUGCAUGCCCAGAGCUGCUGCUCCCCCUGGGCAUUCCCUGCCCGGUGCCAGCCUGACCCCCAAACCAUCACCCACACCACCCACCCGACUGUUCCUCCCCUCCCUGCUCCUGCAGGGCAGCGCCUUCCAAAUUUCACUUUUCCCUCAGAGUUCUUUGGAUUCUCCGGAUUUUUUUCAGCCGUUUCCAAUUCCUGGUUUCUUUUCUCAUUGUUCUUAAGUUGUGCAUGACAUAGGAAA